rnacentral:rRNA from 1 species
UACGUAGGGGGCGAGCGUUGUCCGGAAUUAUUGGGCGUAAAGCGCGCGCAGGCGGCUCUUUAAGUCUGAUGUGAAAGCCCGCGGCUCAACCGCGGAGGGUCAUUGGAAACUGGGGAGCUUGAGUGCAGGAGAGGAGAGUGGAAUUCCACGUGUAGCGGUGAAAUGCGUAGAGAUGUGGAGGAACACCAGUGGCGAAAGCGGCUCUCUGGCCUGUCACUGACGCUGAGGCGCGAAAGCGUGGGGAGCAAACAGG